rnacentral:rRNA from 1 species
AUGACGGCGACGCCUGCCUUGAUCGGGCUGAGCGCAGGCAACCGCCUUCUCAGCACGUCCUUCGGGCCGCCCAACGACCUGCUCUCCGACAAGGUCAACAGCCACAUGAGCAGCGCGGCGGGAGACGCCCACGGCUCCUCCUCGCUGCAGUUCGCGCCACCGGCCGCGUCCAAGCUCACCGUCGCCGCGCACAGGCUCAAGCUCUCCCCACAUGGCCGCGCGCAGGUCAUGCGGGCCCUCAGGCAGAGCGCGCCUGCGCUCGCGCCGCAGCCUCCUCCGUUGUUGCCCGCCGACGAGUUCUCCCUCGAUGCCAUUAUCCUGCUGCAGAGGUCCAUGCUCGAGAAGCAGUGGCAGCUCCCCUUCGAGGAGGAGGACGACGACGACGGCGGCGGCGAUGGCCACCAUGUGGAGGCCAUUGGUUCGGCCGAGGACGAUGACGGCAAGGGCAGGAGCAGCUCCGUCGUCGUGGCGCGCUCCGGCGUCUCGGCGAGGCAGCGGCGGAUGAGCGGCCGGAGGCGUGGGAGGUCCAAGAAAGGCAGCGGCGCCGUGCACCUGAGCAUCAGCCCCGAGCUGCUGCAGAGCAGAAACCGCAUCUACCUUCGCGGUACCGUCAGCAAGGAGCUCCUCACGCACAAGCAGGUUGUCCACCUCUCCAAGAAGAUCAAGGACGGGAUAUGGCUGCAGCAGCAAAGAUCAAAGCUGAAAGAAAAACUGGGGAAUGAGCCGUCGUACAAGCAGAUGGCGCAAUCACUUCGGAUAUCGACGCCGGAGCUACGGUCAAGAAUGCGCGAGUCGUUCCUCGCGAGGGAGGUGCUAACGAUGAGCAACAUCCGUUUGGUCAUAUCCAUCGCCCAGAAGUAUGACAAGCUGGGGGUUGAGCUGUCCGACCUGAUUCAGGGUGGUCUCAUAGGGCUACUCCGCGGGAUCGAAAAGUUUGAUGCAUCUAGGGGCUUCAGAAUUUCCACUUACGUAUACUGGUGGAUUCGUCAGGGUGUUUCAAGAGCACUGGCCGACAACUCGAAAACAUUCAGGCUCCCUACUUACCUGCAUGAGAGGCUGAUUGCGAUUCGUGGCGCAAAGUACGCAUUGGAGGACCAAGGGGUUUCUCCGACAACGCAAAACAUCGCAAAGUUGCUCAAUAUAUCGGAGAAGAAAGUGCACAAUGCUACAGAGGCUGUCAAUAAGGCUCUUUCGUUGGAUCAACAGGCAUUCCCCUCCUUAAAUGGCCUACCCGGAGAUACACUCCACAGCUAUAUAGAGGAUCAAAAUGUUGCGAAUGACCCAUGGCAUGGAUUUGAGGAGUGGUAUCUAAAGGAGGAAGUCAACAAACUUCUAAACUCAAAUCUCACUGAACGUGAGAGAGACAUUAUUCAGUUAUACCAUGGUAUAGGGAAACAAUGCCAUACAUGGGAGGAUAUUAGCAGACAGUUCGGGUUAUCCAGGGAGAGGGUGAGGCAAGUAGGGCUUAUCGCAAUGGAGAAGCUGAAGCACGCCGCGAGGCGGAAAAAGCUGGAUGCGUUGCUCCAGGAUUACUGA